rnacentral:rRNA from 1 species
UACGGGGGGAGCAAGCGUUGUUCGGAUUUACUGGGCGUAAAGGGCGCGUAGGCGGCCUCCGCAAGUCAGUUGUGAAAUCUCCGAGCUUAACUCGGAAAGGUCAACUGAUACUGCGGGGCUAGAGUGCGGAAGGGGCAACUGGAAUUCUUGGUGUAGCGGUGAAAUGCGUAGAUAUCAGGAGGAACACCGGUGGCGAAGGCGGCCACCUGGCCCACUCUUGACGCUGAGGCGCGAAAGCUAGGGGAGCAAACGGG